UGGAAGAGUUCCCCCUGAGUCCAGAGCCAGGACGACGGGAAAAGAGUCUUCGUCCCCCCUCCCCGACACCCCCGAGGCCGGGCGAGGGGUAGACAUUGGGGACCCCGAGGGCCCCAGCCUGGGAGAAAAGGAGGGCAGGUGGGAGGGCUCUCCACGCUCAGAAGCCGGGGAGCUGAAGGGAAGAGGGGACUCCGUGAGCCCACGAGCUGGGUGUGGGGAAGAUAGAGGGUCCCUUCGAGCUCUCGAACCCAGAGCUGGAGGCGGGACGUAGGGAGCCAGGGGGGAGUGCAGGCGGGGGUCGUAAAGCGGAAGGAGGGAGCGAGAGGAGCAAAGGGGCGAAGAGGGUCAGGAAGUGGGGUGGGUGUUAGAAAAGAGCAGCAGACACCGUCACGCGGCGACGCUUGGAGACCUUGUGAGUAGUCAAGUUUUGCUUUAAACGCCAGCGGCUGCUCGUGUGUGAGGGGCGUGUACCCUGGCGCAAGCAGUUGGAUAUUUUCAGUAGACCUGACCUCACAGUGUGCGGCCGGCCCAGCUGGCUGGCGACUCCGGUGCUCAAGUUUCCCCUUGUUCCCAUCCCUUACCUGAUAACCAGGCCUUUCCACUGCCCAGCGCUGGAGGGGCGCCCAGACCUGCGGCAAGAGCCACACAGGACCCGCGGAGGGCGGGCCCUCACCCUCUGCCCUGUCAGCCCCCGCCCCAUCUGUGCCCCAGUGGGGGGACUGAGGUCCUGAGGCCAGGGGAGAGUUGCCUGAACAAGUCACUGGAACCAGCAGCAAGGCCAGGUUCCUUCAUGAAAACGUUAGAGUUUCUCCUCGUUUGGCCUAAUCUCCCCUCCCCCGCGGCCCUUGCUCUGAAAUCCCCCCCUUUCAGGAGUCACUGUCAGAGUUGAGAGUACAAAGGCCGGAUUGUCUAGGAGGGCGGCAGGUUCUGCUUCCAACGUUUAAUUAUGAAGGCAUCACCAAGUGAGUGCUUAGUUUCCUGACUAUCGUUGAGGAGGGAAUCUUGUUUUGAGUUUUUCUGAUUCUAUUUUUCAUCUGGGGAACCAGUUAUAACUCCUGAAAACACCAAGGAAUGAGGCUGUACAAACUGGAGGGCCUUGGGCAAGCGGCUCACAGACUUUUCCCCUCACGAGCCUUUCUCAGCUAGUUCUCAAAGACAGGUAAUCUGUAAGAAUUUCUUGGCCUAAAAAAAAUUUUUUUUUUUUUGCCAAUACAUAUCUCCCCCUGCCUCCCUUUUUUUUAAAACCCAUUUUCUUUACAUGGCCUGAACUUCUAGAGACCUAGGACCUUGCUUUGCCACGAAUUGACCAGUCAAGUGAUUUCCUUUUUAUGCCUUGUUUUUUUUCACAGAAAUUUGUGUUGGAGUCGUCGUGUCAAUUCCAACUCAUAGCGACCCUAUAGGACAGAGUACAGCUGCUCCAUAGAGCUUCCAAGGAGUGGCUGGUGGAUUCAAACUGCUGACCUCUGGUUACCAGCCUGAACUCCUAACCACUGCACCACCAGGGCUUGGUACCCCCUUACCCCUUGUCAUGAGUGGGUCCUGACUCAAAGCAACCCUAUAGGACAGAGUAGAACUGCCCCAUAGAGUUUCCAAGGAGCUCCUGGUGGAUUUGAACUGUUAAUCUUUUGGUUAGCAGCCAUAGCACUUAACCAGUACGCCACCAGGAUUUCCAGUAGGGCUAAAGCCUACAGUUCUAAGUUAGUUUGAUGCAAUUAAAUAUCCAUUAGGUGUAUGGUUCUAUGCUAACUUCCCUCUGCUUUAAGCUGAGAAGAUAUCUGCACAUACAUUUUCUCCGUCCUAAAUCCCUUUGAUCCUCUCUUAAUGCUCCAAGUGCAGUGUUGACGUCUGGCAGGCUUUACGUUCUGUUUAUACCAUUUGCAAACACUGUGAGGAUUAGGAUGGAAUGGAAGGAAGAAAGGCUGCGAGAUUUCUUGGACCCGGAGAAUCUCACACUCCUCUUUCCAUUUUCACUGUCGUUAGCACACAACUUUUAAAAGCUGGCCUGGGCACAGCCACACUUUCGCACAUCCAUACUAAAAUCCAUGUUAAUCUUUCCCACGGGAUGUAGUUCAAUUGAAUUGACAUUCUAAUAAAAUACUGGCAAGACACUAUCACAGUUUGGCAGCAAUGUAUAAUUAAAAUAGCACUAUGCCAUUGCUUAAACCUCAGAUAAUGGCUUCCUACAUAUUAUUGGUUAUGGGACUUCAGGUUUUGCAUUCCUGCAUGUUAAUAGAUCAUGAUAAAACUACUCCUUGGUAAAGCGAGCUGGGAUCUUAGUUUGUCAGUGCUAGGAGUGCAUCAGAGCCCAAGUCUGCUUUUGAUAAGGCACCCAAAUCUGCCUUGAAAAUCUCAUUUUCUGGUGGUAGCUGACUGAGACCCCUCUGCUAUCUCUAAGUCAUUGGCACAGGUAUACAUUGGCUUUGAGGUUGUUUGAAUCUACCACAUUUGGUAUUUCGGAAACCUUAACUAUUUUCUUAAAGACUAGAGACAGGAGGAUUUUCCUUGGGUAAUAAAACUCAGGUUUCCUGUUGUUUUAUUUUUCAACGUGUUUUAUACUGAUAAAGCAAACCUGAUUUAGUGCUGCCAUUGAUAUGCUACUGGAGUACUGUACACUUUGGGUUCCUACAUUUUAUUUAAAGCAUGUGGUUGCUAAAUGGUUGAUACGCUUUAGGUUAUGAAUUAGUCUGUAAUUCAACUGAGCAAUUUCACAAUUGAUGAUUUUUGUUUUAUGGUCAAGAAGACCUGACAUUUUGAUGAAGGGACUGGAGAGAAAGAGUGGGCUCAUUUCUGGACUCUGACAUGUUUUGGGAGAAGCCUGAAUAGUUGUGAUGCACCUAUGUGAUGAGGCGAUUUUUAGCCUUGCCCUUAGCAAGGUACAGUGUCACUCUCAUCACAAGUUCUGAGUGAAGGACCGUUUAGUACAGUACAGACUGGUCAUUUCUGAUGGCACGAUUAACAGGCAUUUAUUACUCACAGAAUAAAUAGGAAGGGGAUGAGUAGAACAGCACAUUUCAACAGUAGCCUGGGUUCCCCAAAGCUAGGCUCCCGUCCGCAGGGUUAGAUCACGUUCUAGCACGUCCCAGUUCACGUCUUCGGAGGAGAAAACCUAAGUUCUUCUCUCCCGGAAUUAAAUACUAAUCGGACAGCUAUGCCUGUGUGCCCAAUAGCAUGUACAGAGAGCAGAUAGGAGAAGGGACAAAAGGGUGGGUAAUAAGAGGUAAAAGGUGUUAGUAAAAGUGGAAGGCACCCUGUAGGCAAUUACCCAAAACCCAAACCCAUUGACAUCGAGGCAAUUCUGAUCCAUAGGGACCGUAGAUGACGGCGUAGAACUGCCCCAUAGGGUUUCCAAGGAGUGGCUGGUAGAUUCAAACUGUUGACCUUUUGGUUAGCAGCCAUGGCUGUUAGCUACUGUGCCACCAGGGCUCCACGGUAGGCAGUGGACAUCAUUUAUUGCCCCUGUUCAGGCUAUUCUAGAUACUGGUGCUGUGGACAUCCUGUACUUCUUCACCCCACUAAAAUAGAGUUCUGGGUUUUUUUCAGAGGGCAGUCAUCUCCCUGUAAAGCACAUACUUUAUGUCCAUUAGUAGCUUUAUGUCCAUUAGCAAUUAGGGAGAUGGUGAGGGCAAUUAUAAUAUAGCACACCUAUGCAGCCAGCGCUAGCUAUACUUACUCAUGAGGCACCAACUUAUUUACACUGUAUAUUUGAAAUAUUAGCAAUCUCUGACUUCAGGGAUGAGGUCGGAGUUAAGAACACCUCACGAAGUAGCUGAAGCUUGUUAUUGGGGUUGCGAAGGGCUAUAUAAUUGAUUGGGGCUCAAAGCAUUUAAUCACCACUGACCCGCAUAUGAACUCUGAACUAGAUCUAUUCCCCCAAAUAGAGACAGGUUCAGAGUGGCCAGAACAGGAAGGAGGAGGAUUUUUGAACCUGGGAAGGGAUUCCUUGGAAAGGGAAAGUUGGUGUUUGUCCUUGAACCCAAACCAAACAAAAUCCACUGCUGAGGAGUGGAUUUUGACUCAUAGCGACCCUAUAGGACAGAGUAGAACCGUCCUAUAGGGUUAUCCAAGGAGCACCUGGGGGGAUUCAAGCUGCCAACCUCUUGGUUAGCAGACGUAGCUCUUAACCACUGCGUGACCAGGGUUUCCUGUUCUUGAAUACCCAUAAUACCCUAAUACCUGUUGCCAUCCAGUCGAUUCCGACUCAUAGCGACCCUAUAGGACAGAGUAGAACUGCCCCUGUAAAGUUUACAAGGACCGCCUGGUGGAUUUGAACUGCCGACCUUUUGGUUAGCAGCUGUAGCACUUAACCACUCCACCACCAGCUCUGUGUAUUUAGGGUAGACUGCUUUCAGCUAGAAUGAAACAAGAUGGCGCUCAUCGUUUAAGGAACCUGGAGGAACAAAUCCGAGAAGUAGCAUCCUGUUUCAGCUGUAUUAAGGAAAAUUGGGUCCAGCAAACAGAAAGGGAUCAAAUACACCGGGGAGCUGUGCAGGGUAAACAGUAUUGGAAGAGAAUUCACCCCAAGAGAGAAACUACACAGAGAUGUGAAGAUACAAGGUGUUUGGAGCCCAAGUGGCACAGUGGUUAAGAGCUCAGCUGCUAACCAAAAGGUUGGCAGUUUGAAUUUACCAGAUGCUCCUUGGAAACAUUGUGGGGCAGGUCUGCUCUGUCCUAUAGCUUCACUAUGAGUUGGAAUUGACUCGACAGCAAUGGGUUUGGUCAGAUUUUUUUGUUCUAUAGGUGUUUAAGUCAGUAGUGCUAAUUUGAUUUCAGUUACUCUGUUAUGGCCAGAAGUGAGCAUUGAGCAGAUUCUAUAGUAUGUCCCCCCACCUGUGUCAUUUUGUCAUACUGCUAUGGCUUGCAUGUUGCUGUGAUGCUGGAAGCUAUGCAAGUAAUAUUUCAAAUACCAGCAAGGUCAGCCAUGCUAGACAGGUUUUAGUGGAACUUUCAGACUUAGACUAUGAAGAAAGAAAAGACUGGUGAUAGACUUCUGAAAAUUAGCUAAUGAAAACCUGUGGAUCACUAUAGAGCAUUGUCUGAUAUAGGGUUGGAGAUGAGCCCUCUAGGUUGGGAGUCUGUCAUAGAUGGAAUUGUGUCCCCCUAAAAUUUGUGCCAACUUGGAGAGGCCAUGAUUCCCAGUAUUGUAUGCUGAUCCACCAUUUUGUGAUGUGAUGUCAUUAUCCUAUAUGUUAUAAAUCCUAACUUCUAUGAUGUUAAUGAGGCAGUUAUAUUAAUAAGGCAGGACUUAGUCUACAGGAUUAGAUUGUAUCUUGAGUCAAUCUCUUUUGUGAUAUAAAAGAGAGAAUUCAGCAGAGAGGAGAGAUACCUUUUACCACCAAGCAAGAAGAGCUAGGAGCAGAGUGCAUCCUUUAGACCUGGGGUCCCUGCGCUCAGAAGCUCCUAGACUGGGAGAAGAUUGAUGAGAAAGACCUUCCCUAAGAGCCAACAGAGAGAGAAAACCUUCCCCUGGAGCUGGCACCCAGAAUUUGGACUGAACUGUGAGAGAAUAAAUUUCUGUUUGUUAAAGCCAUCCACUUGUGGUAUUUUUGUUAUAACAGCACUAGAUAACUAAGACAGGAUUUUGUACCAGGAGAGUGGGGUGCUUCUCUAACAUACCGAAAAUAUGGAAGUGGUUUUGAAACUGAAUGGGUAGAGGCAGAAAGAGUAUUAAAGUGCCUAAUAGAAAAAGCCUAGAUUGCCUUGAAGAGACUAUUGGUUGAAUUAUGGACAUCAAAGACGAUUCUGAUGAAGCUCAGAAGGAAGUGAGGAGAUCUGUUACACUGGAGACAGCAUGGUUGGCAAGAAGCAGCAGCAGAGAAACCACAGCAGCAGACUCAGGAGACCGGUGGGAGACAGUGCAGGAGCUGACCCAUGGAGUAAGGAAACUGAGUUCCUUUGGACAGGAGGCUUCCUGGUGGAGUGCCAGGAAGUGCUUCUGGGCACUUAUUGGUGGAGCUAGGCUUGCUGACCCAUGGAGCAAGAGAGGUUUCAAAGAGUUAGGUCUUUACCAACUUAGUUCCACAAAUGUCAGUGGGAGGGGGCUGAAUUUGCUGCCCAAAGCUGAGGAGGCAGGGUUGCCAUGCCCAAGAGGCAGAAGAAUGGGGCCUUUCAGGGCUGGGGGGUAGGAUUGCCACUUAUACAGACUAGGAGAAUGGGGCCACUGAAAUUGGAGGGAGCAAAGUUGCCAUCUCAGUGGGCUUGGAAGGUGGAGCUGAAGCCCAGGGCCGAGGGGCCUCUACCCAUAAUCUGGAGAGUGUAGCCAACACCCAGAGUCUAGAGGGCAGGGCCAUUGCCUAAAUGGUUUCUGAGAACAGAGGAUUAUUUUCAAGUCUUGAGAGCUAAUAUAAUGUGUUCUGCUGACUUGCUUGGUGCCUGUUAUCCUUUCUUUCCCUCCAGUUUCUCCCAUUUCUAAUGGAAAUAUCUACCUUGUGCCUUUUCCACCAUUGUACUUUGGAAGCAAAUAAUUUGCAUUCUAGAUUUUGCAGAUGCAGAAGAAUUUCACCAAAAAUGAGAUUUUGGACUUAGAGUUAAUUUAAGACUUUCAGAAUGAUAUAAUGGGGUCAAUGUGUUUUACGUGUGGCAAGUACAUGAAGUUUUGAAGGCCAAAAGGUGGAAUGUUAUGGAUUGAAUUGUGUCCCCCCAAGAUGUGUGUCAACUUGACUAGGCCAUGAUUCCCAGUAUUGCGUGGUUGUCUACCGUUUUGCGAUCUGACCUGAUUAUCCUAUGUAUUGUAAAUCCUAACCUCUAUAAUGUUAAUGAGGCAGGAUUAGAUGCAGUUAUGUUAAUGAGGCAGGACUCAACCUACAGCAUUAGGUUGUAUCUUGAGUCAAUCUCUUUUGAGAUAUAAAAGAAAGAAUUGAGCAGAGAGAAGAGGGACCUCACCGCCACCAGGCAAGAAGAGCCUGGAGUGGAGCACGUCCUUUGGAACUGGGUUCCUGCACUGAGAAGCUCCUAGACCAGGGGAAGGUUGACGACAAAGACCUUCCCUCAGAGCCAACAGAGGGAGAAAGCCUCUCCCUAGAGCUGGCAUCCUGAAUUUGGACUUUAGCCUCCUAAACUGUGAGAGAAUAAAUUUCCAUUUGUUAAAGCCAUCCUUUUAUGGUACUUCUGUUAUAGCAGCACUAGAAAACUAAGACAAAGGCACUCAGACUACACCAUAGCACAACAGUGGACCUGUGCAUACCAAAGACUGUGAAGAUGGUCCAGGCCUGGGCUGCAUUUCAUUCUGGUGUACAUGGGGUCACUAUGAGUCAGAGCCGACUGAUGGCAACUAACAUCAACAACCACAUAGUCUGUUAGCAAGUAAUAAAUGCUGUGAAAAAAAAAAAAAAAAGCAAUAGAACAUGGUAAGAAAGAUGAAUAAUGCUGGGCGAGGGAGGCACAAAUUUAAAUUACAGAUCAGAAAACAGGCAUGGUAAGUACAGGCAGAGAGGGUGAUUUAGGCAUCUGAAGAAGAGACACCCAAAUAAUCUAGGGUUGUCUGGGACAAUUUACUAGAGGAAGUCAUAUCUAAUCUAAGACCUGAAUGAUUAAUAAGCGUUAAUCAAACAAUAAGAUGGUAUAUGGGAGUGCUGGUAUGUUUUCCAAAAUAUUGGAAAGAGAACAUUUUAAAGACCCAGGGAGAGGUGUUAGAGCACACAGUGGGCUUGGCUGAAUCUAAGUAGUUUCCUGCGGCUGGAGUAAGAUUGUGUGGUAAAGCAAAGACCAAAUCAUAGAGGGCCUUGUGAGCCAUAUCGGGAGGCUAUUGAGAGGGUUCUCGUAUGGCCUUUGGAAAACCAUUAAAGGAUUUUAAGCAAGUAUGGAAUUUUAUCAUAACUUAACCUCAGAAUCUCUAUGUCCUCAUCUAUAAGAGUUUAUUGGAAAUAAUGG